AUGAGUUUUGCCAAAGAGCAAAAAAGACGGUUAAAGUUAUAGGUUCAACACCAUGAUGCUCUUUUUGUUUAUAAUCUUUGAUUUUUUUCUCCUAUCAGCAGGUUCUUCUUCAGGCAAACAAGUUGACCAGACUCCACUCCACAUCCUCAAAAACCCUGGAGAAUCUGCCACAAUCAACUGUUCACACAGGAUCCAGAGCUACGACCGGAUCCUCUGGUACAAACAAAUAGAAAAUGGACAACUACAGUUCCUGGGAUACGUGUAUACAGACAUGUGGACUCCUGAAGCAGGAGUGAAGGUGAAGGUGGACGGGGAUGCACGUGAAGGCCGGACCUGCACAUUAACAACUGAAGAACUCAUGUCAAACAGCAGUGCAGUUUAUUUCUGUGCUGCUAGUUACCACAGUGCUGCAUAUCUCAGCUCCUCUGUACAUAAACCUCACAGGCCCUCCCACCUGACUUCACUCACUCUAAUCAACAGUGUUUUUUUCUCUACUAGGGGAGGAUCCUUCUGUGAAGCAACACACCAUUUAACCUCUUGGCAUCACUUCAUGUGAAACGGUACCACAAUGACGACUAAAGUUUUCAUCAAACUCCUACUUUCUUCUCUGUGGAUUCAAGUUCGCGGCCAGGAUGUCACCCAGUUCCCUUCCAUCAGCUGGAAUCGUCAGUCCACAUCUGCAGAGAUGAACUGCAGCCACAACAAGGAUCAUUCUCAUUCCCAGAUGUACUGGUACCGGCAGCGUCCAGGAGAGACCAUGACCCUCAUCGUGUACACAGCUUCGGGAUUAAGUCCAGAAUACGGAGGGAGCUCCCAAACCAAAUAUUCAGCCAUCAAAGACAGCUUUGAAAAGGGGGCUCUUUCUGUCAAAGACCUGCAGCCUGAUGACAGCGGUGUGUAUUUCUGUGCUGUCAGCAAACACAGUGAUGUGAGGACUGGAAACAGCUGAACAAAAACUGGUUGCAGAUCAAGUGACUGAAUUAAUAACAGCAUCAGAAGUGUUACAUCUCUCCAGUAGGUGGCACUGAGGUUUAAGAAAUCCUCAAGCUUUAACAUCUUGACAAGCACUGAAUGUUGAAUGUGAUGCAGCUGGUGGAGAUUAGAUACAAGGACACUAACAGAAAACAGGUAAAAAGUUUCCCAAAAGUUUUGCAACUGUUGCACAGCAGGUAAAAACUUUUUAUAACAGUUCGAUUAAAUGUAACAUACUUAGAUUUAUAGCCAGUUAUUUUUCUCUCUACUUAAGGUGUAACUCUGGGUCUUGAUGUCCAUCAGUCUCCUUCUGUUGUCAAAUAUUCUGGUGACAAAGUCCAGAUUUUCUGCAGCCACAGUGGAAAUGACUUCAGGGUGAUGCUCUGGUACCAGCGGUCACCUGGAAACACAGAUAUGAAACUCAGUGAAUAUUUGCACUACAAAGAACUAAACCCAGAGUAAGCAUAUAAAAAUGAUUUUGAUAUGACUGGAAAUUUAAGCGUGAAUACAGCAAAGAACAUCUCUCUUAUAAUCAAACAAGAUCACAGUGCAGUUUAUUACUGUGCAGUGAGAAAAGCACGAUGACAUAAAACAUCUGAACUUUACAAAAACUCAACAUUUCAUCAUUACUGGUUUUCAGACCGGCUCCUGAGCAGUUGUUCUUGUGGUUGGAUUUUGCUUUAAUGCCUCAUAUCAGAAUUAAUGCAUGAAACUUUUUCUGUCUGUUCCAGUUAAUUUCCUCUGUAUUUGUUUGUUUAUAUA